UAGCGCAGCCUGGUUAGCGCACCAGACUGGGGGUCUGGGGGUCGCUGGUUCGAAUCCA
rnacentral:tRNA from 1 species